CAGGCUCACAACUCGCUGGAGACCGGCAAUUUACUUCACCUGUGUGUUCCCUGGUCUCGCUGCAGGCUUCCGGGCCAGCGCCCGCCUCUCACCCUCAAGGCCUCCGCACCUGCCAGGGACACCCAGGCCCUUUCUGAUUCCUGUUCCACCCGCGGCGGCCUCCUAGGCACUCCUAUCCAGGCACCUUGUGUGGCACCCCUUGUCCUCUCCCGCACAACAAGGGCGACCCUCUGGGGUUCCGGCAGGGUGUGGCCUCCGAGCCGCCUGUUGGGAACUCCCAGAGGCUGCUGCACCCAGGGUCCCUGAGGACCCUCCUCCCGGCUGCAAGGUCGCCCUCCCGCUGCCUUCACCACUUGAGCAGUUCCCAGCCAGGCUCCCGAAGGAGAUUGAGGGGAGGGCCAAAGAAGAGCCCAGAACAGUGACGCAGGAGCAUCACGUAGAGAGCCAGGGGCAAGAUGACAAGAAAAGGGCCCCCGUAGCCAGAGGGAAGCAUCAUCCACAUCCAGGGCCUUGGAAACCCAGGGAGACCUCACCUCCUUUGGGUGCAAGCCCGGAUCUCUGCAGGGAAAUGCCCACCCCUACUUGUCGGAAAAACUCUUGACAGAGAGAAGGCCCGGGUGUCUCCAGUGAGUAGCCCCUUCUAGGAGGGCCAUGAGGGCCCCCCCCCCGCCCAGCUCACACGGCCCUGCUGGAGGUGGCCUUCCCCUUGGGAAGCCUGACCCGGCUCUAGCAGUGGGCCCGGCCCCGGCCCCAGAGGAGGCGGCCCGGAAGGCCCUGGAUGAAGACCACCCACCCAGCUCUCCAAGCUUGCUGAUGUCAGGGAAGGAGAUGCAGAUGUCAGGAAAGAAGAAGCCUUCAGCUCUUCCAUCAUGGAGCUUUUCUCCACCCAGAGCUGCCAGCAAAAAGUCCUGCGAAAAGAAAACGUGGAUUCCACCGCUGCUGCUGCUGGCCCCACGCUGCCAUUGAUGUGGGAUAGAGAUGAGCUGUCUCCACCUGCUAAGCUUCUCUGCCUGCCUAUUGAGGGAUACCUGGGCAACUUGGAGAACAGCAUGGGGGGUAAACAGAAGAGAAGACUUCUUCAAGGAGAAAAUGGAGGCUUUGGAGGAUAAAACGGAGGCUGAGCAGUGCUGUGGAUACCACCCUUAUUCAAAAGCUGUCAUCUUCCAGUCUGCCACUAUCUCAUGGAAGAAGUGUACCUUGCCUUACCUGGGGCUCCUUGGUUCUGGUAUCAACCAACACAAUGGCAAUAUUGCUUCAGCCCAUGUCUCCACCAGUUUGCCUGCAGUCAGUCAUGGGAUCAACAGCAACUUCUCCACAUGCUGUAAGUCCACGAGCCACCUCCCAGCUCAUAUUUGGGGCUUCUCAUGGUCAGGAUAAGUCAGACUAUUCUUUUAUUCUGGGAAACCCAGCAACCCCAGCAUCAGUUAUAGGCCUAAGGUCUCCUGCAGUCCAGUCAUCCAGUGAGUGGCAGCAUCACAGCAGCAGAUCUCACUGCUGUGACAUCACCAUAUUCCACAUUUGGCCUGCCUGUCAAUGUGCAGCCACAUAUGGUUAACAACCCAAGUUAUUGCGUUAACCACAUAUGGUUAACCCAAGUCAUUGCUACAACCAAGUCGUCUAUAUUUAAAGUUGCCACUAGCAUGCCUGGCAGUGGGGACAGUACUGCAUUGGUGGUCAAUUCUACUGUAGUCCCACUGGGAAUUAUGAGACCUGGAACCCCUACAGAUGGUGAGAACAUAGGUGUUAGCAUGUCUGCCUCAGGCCCCAGUUCCACUCAGGAACAUUGAAAGCUGUACCAGGAUGGAGGGGAACAGCCAGCACCAGUCUGUUCCCCCAUUUGGUCAGGUAGCCUGGGGCUCACCUGCUCACACCACAUUGGUUGUGGCUACAAACACCAGCAACAUCUCUGCUUGUUCCACCUUCAUGUCAAGUAUCUGGCAUGCACCGCUCCAGAACCCAGGUGUUGCAGCAAGAGGAGGCAACCUCAUUUCCAUUGUCGGAGGCCCUUGUGCUUCCUUUUUCCAUCAGUCCGUGGUUGGCCUAUCUGGACACAGGUGGUGCAUCUACAGUGAAUGCCACCAUAGCUAUAAUGAGAGGCCUUCAUGUGCCGGCACAGCAGUCAAGCACCCAAGGCCACCUGGACAAUGAACAAAUGGUGCGAUGGGGGACAGCACCACAAAUGCUGUGAGUGGCCACACUUAUGGUCUCCCAUUCACAAAGAGCACCUGAGGCCCACCUGGUAUACACAGAUGGUGCAAUGCGGGACAAAUAAGAGCAGGUCUUCUUCCACAUGUGAUUUCCAUGAACAAACUUUGCUCUGUGAGGAAGGGGUUCAGUCCCUUUAAGUUAAACUUAAGCUGCUCUCUCCCUUUAGAAGCUAGAGGCCCCAAACCUGUGUGUGUGCAUGUGUGUUGGAGGAUAUGAGGAAGCUGAUAAGCCCAGUCAGAACCACAGUGUAUUUGAGACACUCCCCUAUGGAAGGUAGAGGAAACCAGCAUGUGUCAGCUGUGCUCUCCCUGGCUUGACUGUUAACCUGACUGCCCCAAGCCCCCAGCCAGUUCUCUAAUGUUUGAACUGACAGGAUGCCCACUACUAUUGAUAGGUGUUACUUUUCCCCUGCCUAUUUUCCUCAGUGAGUCCUUAUCUUUCCCAGUUCUGUGCAUUAAAACCUUGUUUUUACUAAUCUGCCUCUGCUCAUGUGUUUUUGCUCUUUGAUACAACUGUGGAAGAAGAAUUGACAUGAGGGGUGAUGUGUUGAGGCAGACUUUAUGCAAAACUUUCUGUGUUCCAGGGAAUAGGAUGUGGAAAGAGUCACUUUUUCUGACUUCACAGGCUGAGUCCUGAAGCCUCUGUGUGAAGUCUGAGCAUCAAGGAUGACAACCUAGUGAGACAUGAGGUUCAGACCAGGGAGAGACCAGGUGGCCCGUCCUUGCCUCUUUCGUCUGUUGUCUCCAACCACUCCUACCACAUUGGAGACAAUAUAUUUCCUGAUGUGUGUUAGGAAACUGUACUUUUUGAUUUUGGUUUUUAAAAAUGUAUAAAUGUAUUUUGUGUGUGUCUUUUUGUUUGAUUUAGACUUAGGCACUUCAUCCUUACAGAUUCCCACCACAUCCAGAGAGGCUGGGCUUGGCAUCCAGUUUCUUGCAUGUAGAGGAACAAAAG
rnacentral:lncRNA from 1 species